UUCCAGUCGGCGUGCCGCUAUGGCCCUGGUCUUGCUCAGGGCAGCUGAGGCCGCCGGCCUCCAGUUGCAUGCGCCUGGGGGUGAGGGCAGAGCCGAGACCGGUGCCGAUUAGUCCGCUCCGAGAGGCGGCGGGUGCGGCGGUCUUCAAAUGACCCACCGACUACCAGGUCCAAGUACGGUUCCUUUAGGGUUGAAGAACACCAGUAGUUCAGUACUACGACUAAACCUCAUUGCGACUAUUGAAGUCCAUCGAGACUUGUACAGUUUUUCUAUGUACUCCUUGAUUUUAAGAUUUAGUCUUCGGCGGUCAAUCAAUACAUAUACACCACAUAUGUAGUGUCUCAUUGUUUUUCUUUCCUAGGAGUAUUGGGCUCUUUCUUUAACAGACGAAGAGUCAAUUGAUGACUAUCAGGGUUCUAGUUUUAAAAGAGCGGGGAAUAAAAUGGGAAAGUGCUUAAGACUUCAAACUAACCUGUUAAGAGUCGUCACUGAAUUUUCAUCAAUAAAAAGUCAGUGGAUUCUUUAUCCUUUUUAACUUUAUUAUUAGUCCGUCCUAGCAUUCCGAUGACGUCUACACGUCGAAGUAUGAUUUACUCACAUGUUGAUGUUUAUUCAACAUAACGUCUUUUCUCUGGUAUGUAACUAGGCCUCAUCCAAAGGUGUUUUGCCCUUAUUCUUGGUAUACUGACGGGUGGGAGCUUGAGUAUAGCUACUAAUCUUUCUAUUUGUCGAAUUGAUUACUCGUUUAUUAUUAGUGGUUUAUGCAAAGAAAGAAGUCUUCUUUCCUAGUACGUAGUCCUAACUUAAGAGGUUAAGCCAAUAGAAUUGUCCUAUCACAAUCUGGUAGUCUCUUAAUCGCUUCGUUAAAAACAUCAUUUGAACCGGGUGGACGUUCUAGAACACGAACCAGUAGACAAUUGUAGCGACGCUUCGGCCUCUUCGGUACGAACAUCGACAUUCACUACCUCCGGUUGCGUAGAAGGAACGACUUUGUUUAGUUGUUCACUACUCCUUUUUAUUUUACCGUCGGAAAGAGCCUUAACAGCUUGCUUUAUGAGACAGGAGAUUUACAUAUAACGGUAAGUCUUCUAGUCUUGGUUUGAGCCUUUCUAUCCUUCGAACAAGACUCCAAAUGGAAGGUUCUUACCACCACUCGUACAGUACCACGCUUCUACAAUGGUCUCUUCCCAGUAGUACAAAGAAGAGAGGGUCCCACUACUUAACCGGUAUGGAAAACUCUAGGUAUGGGAGACGAAUACAAAUAGUAUUCCGUAUUCGUAUCAUCCUCCAUUCGGCCUUUUGCGGCUCCCCUUCUCACCUUUAGGUACAACCAUACCUUCGUGAACGACUAUACUAGGUUGUUGUCUUUCCUUCCAGUUUCUAUGUCCGAGUCAAGCGUACUUAGGUUAGAAAACCGAUAGCUGCGGUUAAAGGAGGUACUUCAAGGGACCUUGAUCGAGUCGACUUUGCGCAACGCAAAGAGGGGCGAGGUCGUAAGAGGGUAAAGUUUGGACAUUAUAACGUGAAUAAAAGGGAGAGGGCUUCGUGCCAAAAAGUUAAACAAGUAAGCGUACAAUUCGUUUAUUUACUUAAGUAUAGUAGAAGAGAUGUUCUUGAUUACUUCUGUUUUUGCACACCGCACGUCACGUCCGUUGCUUCAGGGUCUUCUACGACGGCCAACGACAUCCCUUCUUGUCGCGUCCCGAGGCAAGUCUGUCCCUUAGGUUAGUUCCCGGGAGGCCUACCAGAGCACGCGCAUAACUUCCACGCCACCAAGAGUUAGCCGCCGCCCAAAACAUACGGAAAGGAAAAGGAGCCGCGACGUAUGCUAACAUGCCCAGGUAGUGGGCACCGACACUCGCUAGGCAUCUUGUAACUGAAGGACUACUCCCUCGUAGAGAAGGUAGAGAAGUCCCCUCUUCUAACUGAACUGAUCACGCAGCUGGUAGGUACGGUAUGCAUCACGGUCGAGAAGGUGACAAUAGAACCUCUGCAGUGACGUCGGACGACUAGAAAACAAAGAGAAGGUAAGGAUUUAUGUGGUAGACAAAAAUUUAUGUUCUGCAAAACCGUUAAGUUCGGAGAAAAUUUCUUAAUGGUUCACAUAAGACUGUCACAUUUAUACUC
rnacentral:rRNA from 1 species